CCUACGGGUGGCAGCAGUGAGGAAUAUUGGUCAAUGGACGAGAGUCUGAACCAGCCAAGUAGCGUGAAGGAUGACUGCCCUAUGGGUUGUAAACUUCUUUUAUAUGGGAAUAAAACGUUCCACGUGUGGGAUUUUGUAUGUACCAUAUGAAUAAGGAUCGGCUAACUCCGUGCCAGCAGCCGCGGUAAUACGGAGGAUCCGAGCGUUAUCCGGAUUUAUUGGGUUUAAAGGGAGCGUAGGUGGAUUGUUAAGUCAGUUGUGAAAGUUUGCGACUCAACCGUAAAAUUGCAGUUGAAACUGGCAGUCUUGAGUACAGUAGAGGUGGGCGGAAUUCGUGGUGUAGCGGUGAAAUGCUUAGAUAUCACGAAGAACUCCGAUUGCGAAGGCAGUUCACUGGACUGCAACUGACACUGAGGCUCGAAAGUGUGGGUAUCAAACAGGAUUAGAUACCCUAGUAGUC
rnacentral:rRNA from 1 species